rnacentral:lncRNA from 1 species
AGCAUUUUUGCAAUAUCAGAGAAAUAGCCAUCAGUCCACAAGUCACGCUGGAGGGGAACAGCUCCAGUACCAAUCAAUAAAGGGAAAAAGUAAGACAGAACGACUAGAAUCACAGCAUAAAACAAAGCCUUGGGCAGAGUCUUCUUUGGGUUAUGCACUUCUCCAGCAAGAGUACUUAUCGAGUCCCAAUAAUUCAGAUUCCAGAAGAGAGUAUUCAGAUACAAGUUCCAAUCAACACUCUGUACAUCUGCGACUAACCAUCUUUCAGGCCUUAAUUUGGGAAUCGAAAUGAGCCCCAUUACCACAAAAGGACAUGUACUUCUCCAGCAAGAGUACUUAUCGAGUCCCAAUAAUUCAGAUUCCAGAAGAGAGUAUUCAGAUACAAGUUCCAAUCAACACUGCGUACAUCGGCCACUAACCAUCUUUCAGGCCUUAAUUUGGGAAUCGAAAUGAGCCCCAUAACCACAAAAGGAAGAAUUGACAAUAUACCAAGCGAAACAGCAACCCAUCCAACAAUAGUUAAACCUCUGUAAUUCAUGUAAGUGAGAAUUACAGUAAGGGCCAAAACAGCUAUAGUUCUAGGAAGCCCACCACCUAAUGCAGGGAUAGCUGAUUUCAGGUAAUCUAAGAACAUAACGGGGUAAAGCGCAUUGUCAAUGACUCCACUCAGCCAUUUCAUCCAACCUUGCUGAAAACCCCAAUAUGGACCCAAAGCAGAUGAAACCCACACAACAUAACCACCAUUUUCAGGGAACAUGGUGCCCAUUUCAGCUGUAAUCAAUGCCUCUGGGAUACUCCAUAUGAAUGGGAAAAUCAAGAAACCCAAAAGAGCAAGAAGAGGACCAGCUGCCUGCACAGUGCCCUCAACACCAAAAGGACCACCAGAAACCUCAUAGAAAAUGAGGAAAACUAAAGGCAAGACUGAAACUUUCCUAGCAUUAUUUGCUCUGGGAGAUGGAACCUCAUUAAUCCCUAUGUACUCUGCACCAUUGAAAUCUCCCAUUGGAAUUGCAGUUUCUCUAUGAGCUGAAACCCUCAAUUUCUGCAUUUUCCAACAAAUUUCAAGUUAACAGAAAACAAUCACAGCACACAUAUUCAUCAUACUUUAACUGACACAGCACAAGAAUCACUACACACUAGCUAACAUACAGCAACAAAAUAACAAAAAGAAGCAAUUUUUGACAAUUCAUAACAUGGGUGAGUACAAUAAAUGCAAUUAGAUUUACCAAAAUAAUAGUAAACAAUCAAUAAUGACAAAAUCACAUGAUGGGUCGUCUUAAUUAUGUCUAGACAUCAGCAUAGAGAGCAAAAAAUUAAAUCUUGAACAAUCUUGAAAAUUAGAAGAGCUUCCCAUUUACUUAAUGAGCAUGCAUCAGAUCCGAGCUAAGGCAGAAGAUAUCAAAAGUCAAAUGUACAGAAAGCAGUAUAAUACAAAAAUAAAAGAUAAAGAUGGAGAUAGGUAAAGAUAAUAAGACCAUGAAAGAAAAGAAAAUUCAAUUGGGAAAUUCCAGCAUUCUUGCUCUCAAAAAGCCAAAAAUUUUUCAAGCAGAAAACGAACCCAGAGCAGUUAGAUAGAUCGAAGGUAUCGCUCCCAACUCCUGAGUAUUUGCAGUGCAACUG